rnacentral:rRNA from 1 species
ACUCCUACGGGAGGCAGCAGUAGGGAAUAUUGGACAAUGGGCGAAAGCCUGAUCCAGCAAUGCCGCGUGAGUGAUGAAGGCCUUAGGGGUUGUAAAGCUCUUUUACCCGGGAUGAUAAUGACAGUACCGGGAGAAUAAGCUCCGGCUAACUCCGUGCCAGCAGCCGCGGUAAUACGGAGGGAGCUAGCGUUGUUCGGAAUUACUGGGCGUAAAGCGCACGUAGGCGGCUAUUCAAGUCAGAGGUGAAAGCCCGGGGCUCAACCCCGGAACUGCCUUUGAAACUAGAUAGCUUGAAUCCAGGAGAGGUGAGUGGAAUUCCGAGUGUAGAGGUGAAAUUCGUAGAUAUUCGGAAGAACACCAGUGGCGAAGGCGGCUCACUGGACUGGUAUUGACGCUGAGGUGCGAAAGCGUGGGAGCAAACAGGAUUAGAUACCCUGGUAGGAUAGCG